AUCUGCUCUUGUCAUGAUCAACCGUUAGGGGUUUUACUGUCGCACGGAUCAGCAGCGUAUUUGUUAUCAGUGUAAACUGGAUGAACAUAAAGACCACGAUACUGUCUCUGCUGCAGUAGAAAGGCCUGAGAGACAGAAGCUGUUAAAUGUGAACCAGACCAAUCAGAUAAUCCUGGAGAGAGAAAGAGAUGCAGGAGGUGAGACAGGCUUUGAAGUCACUCAAGCGCUUUGCACAAACAGCAGUUGAGGAAAGUGAGAGGAUCUUUACUGAGCUGAUCCGCCACAUUGAGAAAAGUCGCUCUGAGGUGAAGGAGCUGAUCGGUGCCCAGGAGAUGGCUGAAGUGAAUCGUGCAGAGAGAAUCCUGAAACAACUAGGGCAGAAUGUUUCUGAGCUGCGGAGGAGUGACGCUGAGCCUUUGGCGUACUGCAGUUUCACUGGACCCCC